rnacentral:piRNA from 1 species
GCCACAGGUGCAGAGCUGCCCAAGGCCUU